rnacentral:misc_RNA from 1 species
UUGUGGAGGAGGACGCCGAAGGUGGGGCUAAUGACUGGGGUGAAGUCGUAACAAGGUAGCCGUACCGGAAGGUGCGGCUGGAUCACCUCCUAACAGGGAGACAACAAAAUGUUUAAUAUUAUUAUUUUGUCACCUUAGGUCGAUCGGUAUCUCACGUUCUUAAUUUAUUAAGAAUUUCAUUUCCUAAGUUUUUCUAGGUCACACCCAUUAUUUUCCUGGGCCAUUAGCUCAGGUGGUUAGAGCGCACCCCUGAUAAGGGUGAGGUCCCUGGUUCAAGUCCAGGAUGGCCCAUAUCUCUAUGUUGGGGGUAUAGCUCAGUUGGUAGAGCGCCUGCUUUGCAAGCAGGAUGUCAGCGGUUCGAGUCCGCUUACCUCCACUGAUUACCACCUCUUCCAUAAUCUGUAGAAAGGAAAAUUUUGAGUUGUGACAAAAUUCUGAACGAAUCUAGCUUCCUAAUGAAAGCAUUAAGAUGCUGGACUCAUUGAAUUAAUUUCAUUGUUUUCAGAGAACCUUGACAACUGCAUAGAUUAUUUUUAAAGACAAUAAGCAUCUUUAAUGAUGCAGAUUUAUUAUUUUUGCAAAUGCAUUAAUAACAAUUCUAUUAAGCUGAUGCUUCAAUUAUGAAGUUAUUGGUCAAGCUACAA